GUCGUGAGAUGUUGGGUUAAGUCCCGCAACGAGCGCAACCCUUAUCCUAUGUUGCCAGCGGGUAAUGCCGGGGACUCGUAGGAGACUGCCGGGGUCAACUCGGAGGAAGGUGGGGAUGAGGUCAAGUCAUCAUGCCCCUUAUGUCCAGGGCUGCACACAUGCUACAAUGGCCGGUACAAAGGGCUGCUAUCCCGCGAGGGUGAGCCAAUCCCCUAAAGCCGGUCUCAGUUCGGAUUGGAGUCUGCAACCCGACUCCAUGAAGUCGGAGUCGCUAGUAAUCCCGGAUCAGCAACGCCGGGGUGAAUACGUUCCCGGGCCUUGUACACACCGCCCGUCACACCACGAAAGUCGGCAACACCCGAAGCCGGUGGCCCAACCCGCAAGGGGGGGAGCCGUCGAAGGUGGGGUCGGCGAUUGGGGUGAAGUCGUAACAAGGUAGCCGUACCGGAAGGUGCGGCUGGAUCACCUCCUUUCUAAGGAGUCAGUGCCCUUCUCACGAGGGGCGACUCCCGAAUGUUGAUCACUGGCCGGCGGCGACACUCUGUUCCGUUUUGAGGGAGCGACACCCGCACUAGGCGGGGCCUCGCUUCGCCUGAGGCGUCGGGAUGCUCGACGUCGCGGUCCCUUGAGAAUUCCAUAGCGAGCACGAGCAUCUUUGUUCUCCAAGCUACAAAGAGCCAACGGUGGAUGCCUUGGCGCCUGAAGCCGAUGAAGGACGUGGGUGGCUGCGAUAAGCCACGGGGAGCUGCCGACCGAGCGUCGAUCCGUGGAUGU
rnacentral:sRNA from 1 species